GGCAAAUCUUGUCUGGCAAGUCACUGUUAGAGCACACAGUUUCCAGCACUGGGGGGAUACAUUAAAAUUUAGAGAAAUUAUUGCGGAUUUAAUUGACUCCUGAGGCCUCUGUUAACCAUAUGGAUGUCCAUGAUUGGAACUACAAUGUUAUUCCUAUUCCUUCUGGAAGCCAUGUUGAUUCAAAUGGUCCUUGUUACCAUGGGAUAACAUCUUGAUUGCCAUGACCUCUCUGGCCCCAUAUGACCAUACUAAUGUAAGUAUUCUGUGUUGCCAACAUAAAGAAUGUAAAUUUACAAGAACAAUAAUACAACUGAAACUAAGUUCUUAUCUGGGAUACUUGCUGUCACCUCCAAACAAAUUGAAUACAUUCAUCACUGCUGAAUCUGUAAAACAUGCAGAUGUCCAUGAGAAGGCAUACCAUGUUAUUCCUACUAUUUCUGGAAGCCACAUAAUGCCAGGGUUCAUUCUUGCUCAUGGAUCUAAUGUUGAUGUCUAUCUGUCCUGCUACCUGAGACCAUGUUGAUGCAAGAGUUCUAUAUUUCCAUCAUGAAGAUAGUUAAUUUCCUAAUCUCAACUACCGUAGUAAACUAUGUUUCUAUCCAUUCUAUGUGCUGCCAGCUGAUAACUUGUGGAUUUAAUUGAUCCCUGCUUGUUCUGUUACCCAUAUGGAUGUCCAUGAUUGGAACCAUAAUACUUUUCAUACUACUUCUGGACACCAUGUCGAUUUUCAUGAUAUCUGUUGCUACAGGUGAUGAUGUUAAUGUAAGUGAUCCUUGUUGACAAUGUAUAGAAUGGUAAUUUCCAAGAUUUAACAAACUUUUGGUAACUAAAGUUGAUACACAUUAUUCAUGCUGCCACCUGCAGCCAUACUGAGGUCAUUGAUCACUGAUGCCUAUGCAAACCGUGCUAAUAUUAAUGAAUGGAGCUCCCCUGCAUUCCUAUUGUUUCUGUAAGCCAUGUUGAUGAAGGUGGUCCUUUAUGCAAUGGGUUAACAUCAUGAUUGCCAUAAAUUCUCCAGCCCCUUAUGGCUAUUUUAAGCCCCCUUUUGGCAAUAUGUAGAAUGGUAAUUUCCAAGAUUUAGCAAGCAUGGGUCACUAGGCAGAUAUCCAUAAUUCAUGCUGCAACCUCCAACCAUGCUGAUGUCCUUGACAGCCAUUGCCACUGUUAAACCUGUUGAUGUCUAUGAAUGCCCCUACAAUGCAUUCCUCUUGUUUCUGUAAGCCUUGUUGAUACAUGAUACAAUCCUUGUUCCCAUGAGAUAACAUUUUGAUUGCCAUGACCUCCUUGGCCCCUAAUGAUCAUAUUGUUGGAAGUGUUCUGUGUUGCCAACAUAAAGAACGUAAUUUCAAGAAUUAAAAUACCAAACAAAACCAAGAUGAUAUCUGCAAUAUUUGCUGUCACCACCAAACAAAUUGAAUUAAUUUAUCCCUGCUGCAUCUGUUAUAUAUGUGUAUGUCCAUGAGCAGACAUACGAUAAAAUUCCUAUUAUUUCUGGAAACAAGGUUGAUGACAGCGUUCUUUCUUGCACAUGGAACUUAUUUUGAUGUCUAUCUGUCCUCCUACCUGACACCAUGUUGGUACAAGAGUUCUGUCUUUCCAUCAUGAAGAAAAUUAAUUUCUCUGAUCUCAAAUACCAAAGUAAACUGUGUGGCUAUUCAUUCUAAUUUCUGCCACCUGAAACCCUGUAGAUAUAAUACAUUCCUACUGCUUCUGUGAACCAUGUGGAUGUCCAUGAUUGGAGGCACAAUGCCACUCUUAUUACUUCUGGAAGCAAUGUUGAUGCUAAUUAUCUUCUACCACUUGGCACCAUGUUUUUAUAUGAUUUCUCCUGCUACAAGUUACCACCUUAAGAUAAGUUUUCGUUGUUGCCAGUUUAUAGAAUGGUAAUUUCCAAGAUUUAAUUAACUUUUGGUAGCUAAGUUGAUACACAUAAUUCAUACUGCCACCUGCAGCCAACCUGACGUUAUUGGUCACUGCUGCCUUUGCAAACAAGGUUGAUAUUAGUGAGUAGAGCUCCCAUGCAUUCCUAUUCAUUCUAGAAGCCAUGUUGAUGCAUGUGGUCCUUGUUACCAUGGGACAGCACCUUGAUGGCUUUGAUUUCUCCAUCCCCUCAUGAUCUUAUUAAUGUAAGUAUUCUGUAUUGCCAAUAUGAAGAAUUAAAUUUUCAAGAAUUGAAAUACCAAUAGAAACUAAGAUAAUAACCAAAAGACAUGCUGCUACCUCCAAAUAAGUUGAGGUCUUUAAAUCCAGCUGAGUCUUUUAAACAUGUGCUUGGCCAUGAUUGGCACUACAAUGCUAUUUCUACUCCUUCUGGAAGCAAUGUUGAUGCUCAUGAUCUUCUUACCACUGGACACCAUGUUGACUUACAUGAUCUUUCCUGCAACAAGUGACAGUAUUAAGGUAAGUGUUCCUUUUUGGCAAUAUAUAGAAUGGUAAUUCCCAAGAUUUAAUGAACCUUUGUUAACUUAGCUAAUAUCUCUAAGUCAUGCUGCCACCUGCACCCAUGCUGAUAUCAUUGAAUGUUCCCUGUUGAUGUCUAUGAAAGGAAGUGCCAUGCAUUCCUAUUAGUUUUGUAAGCCAUGAUAUUCAUGUGGUCCUUGUUACCAUGAGAUGACAUCUUUAUUGCCAUGAUCUCUCUGGCCCCUUAUGACCAUAUUAAUGUAAAUGUUCUGUGUUGGCAACAAAAAGAAUGUAAAUUUUCAAGAACAAAAAUACCAACUGAAACUAGUUGAUAUCCAGAAUACUUGCUGAUGCCUCCAAACAAAUUGAAUUCAUUUAUCCCUGCUACACCUAUUGAACAUGUGGAUUUCAUGAGCAGAUAAAUCAUGCUAUUUCUACUAUUUCCGGGAGUCACAUUGAUGCCAGGGUUCUUCUUGCCCAUGGAUCUGAUGUUGAUGUCCAUCUGUCCUGCUUCCUGAGAUCAUGUUGAUGCAAGAGAUCUGUCUUUUCAACAAGAAGAAUGUUAAUUUCCCUGAUCUCUACUACCAUAGUAAACUAUGUGGCUAUCCAUUCAACAUUCUGCCACCUGAAAACUCGUGGAUUUAAUGGAUUCCUGCUGCUUUUGUUACCCAUAUGGAUGUCCAUGAUUGGAACUAUAAUUCUUUCCUUACUACUUCAGGUAGCAGUGUUGAUGCUCAUGGUCUUCUAAACCACUGGACACCAUGUUGAUAUCCAUGAUCUCUGUUUCUACAGGUGAUUAUGUUAAUGUAGAUUUUACUUGUUUUAAAUGUAUAGAAUGGUAAUUUCCAUGAUUUAACCAACUUUUGAUAAAUGAGUUGGUACACAUAAUUCAUACUAGUACCUGCAGCUGAUGUCAUGGAUCACUGAUGCCUUUGCAAACCCUGCUGAUAUUAAUGAAUUGUGCUCCCCUGCAUUUCUAUUGUUUCUGUAAGCCAUGUUGAUGCAGGUGUUCCUUUAUAUCAUGGGUUAACAUCAUGAUUGCCAUAAAUUCUCCAGCCCAUUAUGGCCAUAUUCAGGCAAAAGUUUCUUUUUGGCAAUGCAUAGAAUGAUAAUUUCCAAGAUUUAACAAGCAUUUGUAACUAAGCAGAUAUCCAUAAUUCAUCAUGCCAUUACAAACAUGCUGUUGUCAUUGAUCUCUGUUGCAACUUUUAACCCUGUUGAUAUCUAUGAAUGCACCUCCAAUGCAUUGCUGUUGUUUCUGUGAGCCAUGUUGAUGAAUGUAGUCCUUGUUACCAUGAGAUAACAUUUUGAUUGCCGUGACCUCUCUGGCCCUUUAUGUUCAUAUGGAUGGAAGUGUUCUGUGUUGCCAACACAGAGAAUGUAAAUUUCCAAAAAUUCAAAUACCAACUGAACCUAAGUUGGUAUCCAGAAUAUUUGCUGUCACCUCCAAACAAUUUGAAUUCUUUCAUCCCUGCUCCAUCUCUUAAACAUGUGGAUGUCCAUGAGCAGACAUACAAUGCUAUUUCUACUAUUUCUGGAAGCCACAAUGAUGCAAGGAUUCUUUCUUGCCCAUGUAUCUGAUGUUGAUGUCUAUCUGUCCUCCUACUGGAAAUCAUGUUGGUGGUAUAUCCAUCACGAAGAAAGUUAAUUUCUCUCAUCUCAACUACCAAAGUAAACUGUGUGGCUAUCGAUUCUAUAUUUUACCACCUGAAACACUGUGGAUAUAAUACAUCCCUAUUGCUUCUGUUAACUAUGUGGAUGUCCAUGAUUGGAGGCACAAUACCAUUCCUACUACUCCAGAAGCAAUAUUGAUGCUCAUUAUCUUCUUUCCACUGGAUACCAUAUUCAUUUCUGUGAUCUCUCCUGCUACAAGUCACCACCUUAAGGUAAGUGUUUGUUGUUGCCAAUGUAUAGGAUGAUAAUUUCCAAGAUUUAACCAGCUUUUGAUUCCCAUUGUUCAUGCUGCCACCUGCCACCAUGCUGAUGUCAUUGAUCACUGCUGCAAUUGCAAACCCUGUUGAUAUUAAUGUAUGGAGCUCCCAUGCAUUCCUAUUAGUUCUGUAAGCCAUGUCGAUGCAUAUGGUCAUUUUUACCAAGGGAUAACAGCUUGAUUGCUAUGAAUUCUCCAUCCCCUUAACACAUUAUUUAUGUAAGAGUUCUGUGUUGCCAAUAUGAAUAAUGUAAUUUUCAAGAUUUGAAAUACUAACAGAAAUUGGCUUAAUAUCUUGAAUACAUGCUGCUACCUCCAAACAAUUUGAGUUCAUUAAUUCUAGCUGAGUCUAUUAUAACUGUGCAUGUCCAUGAUUGGAACUACAAUGCUAUCUAUUCCUAUGCUUCUUGGAAGCAAUAUUGAUGCUCUUGAUCUUCUUACCACUGGACACCAUGGUGACUUCCCUGAUUUCUCCUGCUUCAAGUGACCAUGUUAAGGUAAGUGUACCUUUUUGGCAAUAUAUAAAAUGGUGAUUACCAAGAUUUAAUGAACCUUUGUUGACGUAGCUGAUACUUGUAAUUCAUGCUGCCACCUGCACCCAUGAUGAUGUCAUUGACUCCUGCUGCCUCUGUUAACCUUGUUGAUGUCUAUUAAAGGACCUGAUAGGAAUUCCUAAUGUUUCGCUAAGCCAUGUUGAUGCAUUUGUUCCUUGUUACCAUGUCAUAAUAUCUUGAUUGCCAUGACUUCUCUGGACACCUAUGACCAUAUUGAUGUAUAUGUUCUGUGUUGCCAACAUAAAUAAUGUAAAUUUCUAAGAACAAAAAUACCAACAGAAACUAAGUUGACAUUUGGAAUAAUUGUCACAUCCAACCAAGAUGAAUUCAUUUAUCCCUUUCGCAUCUGUUAAACAUGCAGAUGUCCAUGAGAAGACAUACCAUGCUAUUCCUACUAUUUCUGGAAGCUAUGUUGAUGCCAGGAUUCUUUCUUGCCCAUGGAUCUGAUAUUGAUGUCCAUAUGUCCUCCAACCUCAGGCCAUGUUGAUGCAAGUGUUCUGUCUUUUCAACAAAAAAGAAUGUUAAUUUCCCUAAUUUCAACUCCCAUAGUAGAUUAUGUGGCAAUCCGUUCCACAUUCUACCACCUGAAAUCUUGUGGAUUUAAUUGUUCCGUGUUGCUUCCAAUGCCCAUAUGGAUGUCCGUGAUUGGAACUAUAAUGCUUUUGCUACUACAUCUGGUAGCAGUGUUGAUGCUCAUGGUCUUGUAAACAACUGGACACCAUGUCAAUUUUCAUGAUAUCUGUUGCUACAGUUGAUGAUGUUAAUGUAAGUGCUAUUUGUUGCCAAUGUAUAGAAUGAAAAUUUCCAAGAUUUAACCAAAUUUUGUUAACUACUUGAUACACAUAAUUCAUGCUGCCACCUGCAGUCAUGCUGAUGUCAUUGAUCACUGCUGCCUUUGCAAACCCUGGUGAUAUUAAUGAAUGGAGCUCUCCUGCAUUCCUAUUGGUUCUGCAAGCCACGUUGAUGCAGGUAGUCCUUUAUACCAUGUGUUAAUAUCUUGAUUGCCAUAAUCUCUCAAGCCCCUUAUGGCCAUAUUAAGGCAAGGGUUUUUGUUUGGCAAUGUGUAGAAUGGUAAUCUUCAAGAUUUAAUAAGAAUUGGCAACUAAGCAGAUAUCCCUAAUUCAUGCUACCAUCUAAUACCAUGCUGAUAUCAUUGACACCCGUUGCCACUCUUAACAAUGUUGCUGUCUAUGAAUGCACCUCCAAUGCAUUCCUAUUGGUUCUGUAAGCCAUGUUGAUGAGUGUGGUCAUUAUUACUGUGGGAUAACACCUUGAUUGCUUGAAUUCUCCAUCCUCUUAUCACCAUAUGGAUGGAAGUGUUCUGUGUUGCCCAUAUGAAGAAUGUAAUAUUCAAGAAUUGAAAUACUUACAGAAACUAAGUUAAUAUCCUGAAUAUAUGCUGCUAUCUCCAAACAAGUUGAGGUCUUUAAACCCAGCUGAGUCUCUUAAACAUGUGCAUGUCCAUGAUUGGAACUACAAUGCUAUUCCUACUCCUUCUGGAAGGAAUGUUGAUGAUCAUGAUCUUCUAACCACUGGACAUAAUGGUGACUUCCAAGAUCUCUCCUGAUAUAAGUGACCUUAUUAAGCUGCAUGUGUUAAACAUAUAGAUGUCCAUGAACAGACAUACCAUGCUAUUCCUACUAUUUCUGGAAGCCACACUGAGGCCAGCGUUCUCUCUUGCCCAUCGAUCUGAUGUUGAUGUCUAUCUGUCCUCCUACCUGACAUCAUGUUGGUGCAAGAGUCUUUCCAUCAUGAAGAAAGUUAAUUUUCUGAUCUCAACUACCAAAGUAAACUGUGUGGCUAUCCAUUCUACAUUUUCCACCUGAAAUACUGUUAACCAUGUGGAUGACCAUGAUUGGAGGCACAAUUCAAUUUCUACUAUUCCAGAAGCAAUAUUGGUGCUCAUUAUCUUGUUACCACUGGGCAACAUGUUGAUUUCUAUGAUCUCUCCUCCUACAAGUCACCACCUUAAGGUAAGUGUUUGUUGUUGCCAAUGUAUAGAAUGGUAAUUUCCAAGAUUUACCUAACUUUUGGUAACUAAUUUGAUACACAUAAUUCAUACUGCCACCUGCAGCCAUGCUGAUGCCAUUGAUUAUUGCUGCCUUUGCAAACCCCGUUGAUAUUAAUGAAUGGAACUCCCAUGCAUUCCUAUUGGUACUGUAAGCCAUAUUGAUGCAUGUGGUCCUUGUUACCAUCGGAUAACAACUUGAUUGCUUUCAAUUCUCCAUCCCCUUAUCACCUUAUUUUUGUAAGUGUUGGGUAUUGGCAAUAUGAAGAAUAUACUUAUCAAGAAUUGAAAGAAAUACUAACAGAAACUAAGUUAAUAUCCUGAAUACAUGCUCCUAACUCCAAGCAAGUUGAGGUCAUUAAACCCAGCUGUGUCUCUUAAACAUGUGCAUGUCCAUGUUUGGAACUACAAUGCUAUUCCUACUCCUUCUGGAAGCAAUGUUGUUGCUUAUGAUCUUCCUACCAUUGGACCCCAGGUUGAUUUCCAUGAUCUCUCCUGCUACAAGUGACAAUAUUAAGGUAAGUGUUCUUUUUUGUCAAUAUAUAGAAUGGUAAUUUCUAAGAUUUAAUGAACCUUUGGUAAUGUAGCUGAUAUCUGUAAUUCAUGCUGCCACCUGCACCUAUUCUGAUGUCAUUGACCUCUUCUUCCUCUUUUAACCUUGAUAAUGUUUAUGAAACCACCUGUCUUACAUUGCUAUGGUUUGUAAGCCAUGUUGAUGCAUGUGGUCCCUCUUACCAUAGGAUAACAUCGUGAUUGGCAUUACCUCUCUGGCUCGUUAUGACCAUAUUAAUGUAAAUGUUCUGUGUUGCCAUCAUAAAGAAUGUAAAUUUCUAAGAACAAAAAUACCAACUGAAACUAAGUUGAUAUCUGGAAUACUUGCUGUCACUUCCAAACAAUUUGAAUUAAUUCAUCCCUACUGGAUCCUUUAGAAAUUGAUGUCUGUGACCAGACAUAUCAUGUUUUUCCUACUAUAUUUAGAAGCAUGUUGAUGCCAGGGUUCUUUGCUUGCCCAUGGAUCUCAUGUUGAUGUCCAUCAGUCUGGCUACUAGAGACUAUGUUCUGUCUUUCCAUGAUGAAGAAAGUUAAUUUCCCUGCUUCCAUCUACCAAAGUAAACUAUGUGGCUAUCCUUUCAACAUGCUGCUACCUGAAACCUUGUGGAAUUUAUUGUUCCCUGCUACUUCUUUUAUCCAUAUGGAUGUCCAUUUUUAGAACUAUAAUGCUUUUCCUACUUCUUCUGGUAGCAGUGUUGACACUCAUGCUUUUGUAAAUAACUUGACACCAUGUUGGUUUCCAUGAUCUCUCCUGAUACAGGUAUUUAUGUUAAUGUAGGUGUUACUUAUUGCCAAUGUAUAGAAUGGUAAUUUCCAAGAUUUAACCAACUUUUGGUAACUAGUUGAUACACAUUAUUCAUGCUCUCACCUGCAGCCAUGCUGAUGUUAUUGAUCACUGAUGCCUUUGCAAACCCUGUUGAUAUUAAUGAAUGGAGCUCCCCUUUAUUCCUAUUGGUUUUGUAAACCACGUUGUUGCAGGUGGUCAUUUUUACCAUUGGCUAACAUCUUGAUUGCCAUAAAUUCUCUAGUCCCUAAUGACCAUAUUAAGGCAAGUGUUCCUUUUUGGCAAUGUGUAGAAUGGUAAUUUCCAAGAUAUAUCAAGCAUUGGUUAAUAAACAAAUAUCCAUAUUUCAUGCUGCCAUAUCCUAUCAUGCUGAUCUCAUUGAUCCCUUUUGCUACUGGUAACCCUGUUGAUGUCUAUGAAUGUACCUGUAAUACAUUUGUUGUUUCUGAAAGCCAUGUUGACGCAUGUCCUUAUUACCAUGGGAUAACACCUUGAUUGCUUUCAAUUCUCCAUCACCUUAUUUAUGUAAGUGUUCCUUUACCCAUAUGAAGAAUGUAACUUCCAGGAAUUGAUAUACUAACAGAAACUAAGUUAAUAUCCUGAAUACAUGCUGCUACCUCCAAACAAGUUGAGGUCUUUAAUUUCAGCCUUUCUCUUAAACAUAUUCAUGUCCAUGAUUGGAACUAUAAUGCUUUUCCUACUCCUUCUGGAAGCAAAGUUGAUGCUCGUGUUCUUCCUACCACUGUGAUCUUUCCUCCUACAAGUUACCAUGCUAAUGUAAGUGUUCUUUUUUGCAACAUAUUGAAUGGUAAUUGCUAAAAUUCAAUGAACUUUGGUAACUUAGCUGGUGUCUGUAAUUCAUUUUUACACGUGCACUCAUGCUGAUGUCAUUGACCCCUGCUGCCUCUGUUUACCUUGUUGAUGUCUAUGAAAAGACCUUCCGGGCACUCCUUUGGUUCUGUAAGCCAUGUUGAUGCAGGUGGACUUUGUUUUAAUGGGAUAACAUCUUGAUUGCCAUGACCUCUCUGGCCCCUUAUGGCCAUAUUAAGAUAGGACAUUGAUGUCCAUAUCCAUGGAGAUAUUCUGCUAUCUGAGACCCUACUGAUGCAAGAGUUCUGUUUUGCCAACGUGAUGAAUGUUAAUUGCUAUGAUCUCAGCUACCAUCUGAAACUGGUGAUAUUUACAUGCUACCACCUGCAACCUUGGUGAUGACAUGGAUACCUGCUGUUCUCUUUAUCAUGUUGAUGAUCUUUACUAUGCUAUUCUUAUUGGUUUGAAGUCCAUGUGGAUGCCUUAUGUUACGUUUUGCUCCUGGAUAAGGUAUUGGUGUUGAUGUCCAUGUUUUGUAAUGCCACCUGAGUCCAAACUGAGGAAAUCAUGUUGAUGUCACUGUUCUUUGCUGCAUUUUCUAACCAUGUUGAUGUUCAUCAUCCAACCUACUAUCCAAACUUUGUUGAUGUUAGUGAUCUAUGUUGUAGCUGUUAACCAUGUUGAGGUUACUGAACUUUGCUACCACCUGUAACCAUAUUGAUGUCUGCAGUGUACAGUGUCAUCAGAAACAGUGUUGAAGUCAUUUGUCCAUACUGCUACCUUAGACCCAGUUCAAGCAACCAUGUUGAUGUCAGUGAUUCUUGCUGCCUCUCUUAACCUUGCUGAUGUCCAUGAUUCGAACUGUCAUUUGAAACUUUGUUGAUGUCACUGAUCUUUGCUGUUGCUGUCAACCAUGUUGAUGCUACUGAAACAUGCUUCCACUUGUAACCAUACUGCUGUCUCUAGUCUGUUAUCAUCUGUGACAGUUCUGAAAUCAAUGGUAUAUACUACCACCUGAGACCCACUUCAGGAAACCAACCAUGUUGAUGUCACUGAUCUUUGUUCCCUGUUUUGACCAUGUGGAUGUCCAUUAUCUGACUUAUCAUCUGAAAUUAUGUUGAUAUCACUCAUUCAUGCUGCUGCUUAUAACCAUGUUUAUGGCCAUAGUCUUUGUUAGAAUCUUAGACCUUGUGAAUGUCCAUUGUCCAUGUUGCCACCUGAGUCCAUGAUGAUGACCAUGAUGACUUUAGUCUUUGCUGCUGUCAGUCAUAAUGUCGAUGCCUCUGAUUGGUGCUUUUACUGGGGACUAGGUCAAUAUGAAUGAUCUGAGCUGCCAACAGAAACUAUUUUGAUAUCAUUAAGCCAUCCUUGGGCUGGAGACCAUGUUGAAAUCUUUGUCAUUGAUGCCACCAAAUACUAUGUUUAUGUUCAUGCUCUGGGUUGCAUGGUCCAGUUGGAUAUCCAUGACCCAGCUGCUGAUGAAGACUGUGUCGAUGUCUGUGGUCAGUACUGCCACAAGAAGACAUCCUGAUAGUGAUCUGUGAUGCCUCCCUCAAACAUGUUAUGUUGGUGAUCUGGGUUGAUGUCCUGGACCAGAUGGAUGGCAGUUAUCCAUACCGUCACCAGAAAUCUUGUGGACCAUGAUCCGUUCUGCUCCUGGAAACUCUGUAGAAGUCUAUGAUUCAUUCUGCUGCUGGAAACCAUGUGUAAGGCCUUGAUCUGUACUGCUACUGCCUUCUAUGGGCAAGGAACUUCUUUUGCAGUAGUAUCAAUGACUGUAGAAUCAUUACUGAAAUUCAGAUGGACAUUGAAGGCUUCUGUGCCACCAUCCCUCCAAAAAAGAAAAUCUAGACAGGAUCUAAUUGGAGAGUUCUUGAAAGUUGUAAUAAAAUUACUUAACUGUAGCUCUUCACAGUUGAUGGCUUCAGGCAGGGGUUUGGAAAGAACACCUUUUUAAAGGGCUGGCUACUGCAAGUUUGCCCAUGCUCUAAUGAGUAUAAGGAGAACACCAAUUGGACUUGUUAUAUUGCAUUUUUUCUAUUCUGAGGGAGGAUGCCACAAGGGUGAGAGGGUGGACCUGGGAGGAAUGGGAAUCAAGUGUGAUUGAGGUAUGUUGUAUGACAUUUUCAAAUGAUUAAUAAAAUAUU